rnacentral:rRNA from 1 species
GAUGAACGCUGGCGGCGUGCCUAAUACAUGCAAGUCGAGCGAACAGACGAGGAGCUUGCUCCUCUGACGUUAGCGGCGGACGGGUGAGUAACACGUGGAUAACCUACCUAUAAGACUGGGAUAACUUCGGGAAACCGGAGCUAAUACCGGAUAAUAUAUUGAACCGCAUGGUUCAAUAGUGAAAGACGGUUUUGCUGUCACUUAUAGAUGGAUCCGCGCCGCAUUAGCUAGUUGGUAGGGUAACGGCUUACCAAGGCGACGAUGCGUAGCCGACCUGAGAGGGUGAUCGGCCACACUGGAACUGAGACACGGUCCAGACUCCUACGGGAGGCAGCAGUAGGGAAUCUUCCGCAAUGGGCGAAAGCCUGACGGAGCAACGCCGCGUGAGUGAUGAAGGUCUUCGGAUCGUAAAACUCUGUUAUUAGGGAAGAGCAAAUGUGUAAGUAACUAUGCACGUCUUGACGGUACCUAAUCAGAAAGCCACGGCUAACUACGUG